rnacentral:rRNA from 1 species
AUGCUAGAUGAAGCGGGAGGUGACCAAAAGCUAGCCGAUCGGCCAGAUAUUGUGGACAGAGUAUUUAUGAUCAAACUGAAGGAGCUAAUGAGAGACAUAAAAGAAAAGAAAUACUUUGGAGAAAUAGUUGAAAAGGCUAAGAAAAACUCACCAUGCAUGGUGGACCAUAGAUGCACCAAGCAUUUCCCAAAAAGAUACAAUGUCAGCACUACCAUUAACGAGGAUGGAUUUCCAGUAUAUAAAAGGAGGGAUGACGGAAGGCAGAUAAAAAAAGGAGGGGUGAUGCUCGACAAAAGAUUUGUCAUGCCAUACAACCGGAACCUUCUGGUCAAGUAUCAAGCUCACAUAAAUGUCGAGUGGUGCAAUAGGUCCAGAUCAAUCAAGUACCUAUUUAAGUAUAUCCAUAAAGAUGAUGAGCAUGUUACAGCCUUACUCAAGGAAAGGGGCAUGACAAACGAAACUGACGAGAUCAAGAAAUACCUAGAGAUGAGAUACAUAUCAACAUCAGAAGCAUGA